rnacentral:pre_miRNA from 1 species
GAAGAAGGUGGGGAUGUUGGAAUGGCUCAAUCAAAUCAAAUCUCCCAAGGGUUUUGGGUCCUUUAAUCUGAUUGAGCCGUGCCAAUAUCAUCAUGUUCACUUC